rnacentral:lncRNA from 1 species
AAUACCAACCCUAAGUAGCAGCUGCAAAAGACGUAAGAAAUGCUCUAGAGAUCAACAACUAGAUCAAAGAGACUCUAAGACCUAAAAGGAGACCUCCACCGUCGUUGCUUCUUCUUGAGGAGACGAGACACAAAAAUGAAAAUUACUGGAGACACCAAAAAGCUUCAGCUUUCGCUUCUUAUUCUUCUUGACUCUGAAUGAUCCUAAAGGAAGUGAACACUAUUUCCGGCGCUCACCCCUCAUCCCUCUCUCUCUCUCUGUUGAUUUUCACUCCCACUAUUAUCCGUCGGAGUUGGUCACCGGUGAUGGCUAGGCAACCACGGUGACUUCCAUCGUCUCUUCUCUUCGACGAGCUCCAUUGGUUGGAUAAAUCAACACUUCUUGCUGAAUUUUGGCUAGAAAUUUUCAUAUCAGACUGUGAAGUUUUAAAGCCUAUCUAUUUGGGUUUGAGUUCCGGCGUCUAAUACCCAUUUCCGGCGCCACCAUUUAGAACGGCAGACUAUUUUUCGAUACCUUUAUUUCUUCAUUCACGUGCUGUUAUAAAUAGUAUGAGUUAUAAAAAGUACUUUCUUUAGUUGAUUGGAUUUAGGGGGUUUGGCCGGAUUUGCCAUUUUUCAUGCGGACUCCAUUAAUCUCAGUUGAAAACCCGCCGAGAUAGUGCCGAAAACCAGCCUUAAGUUUGUUACAAAAUACCCCUCGUAAUAGUUGCAUUUUCUUGAGAUCGGGGUCAUUUUGAAGUUGCCGUUUGAGGUCUCCGGUCGUUAGUUCCGUUUGUUGUUGCCGACAAACACUCCGAUCAACAAUUGUCUGGUUGUUAAGCUCGUGUAAUUCCAACUCAGAUAAUUUAUAUAAAAGGUCACUCUUUUUCUCCACUUCAUUGAUUGUUUCAUUCUUUGACUUUGUUAAUCGAUUUUGUGUAAUUAUUCGAUGGAAUGACAUUUUAGUACAUUUUAUUGAUCCUGGAUCUAUGAAUCUUAUUAUUUCUUUGUUUCAGGAGAAUAUGGUUUGGAGUUUGAUGCUA